UCCUCCGUGGCGCAAUUGGCUAGCGCGUCUGACUGUUACAGCAGUAGCUUAUCAGGAGGUUGAAAGUUCGAGCCUUUCCGGGGGAG
rfam:Bipolaris zeicola 26-R-13 unplaced genomic scaffold scaffold_112, whole genome shotgun sequence.